UCACUGGUAACAAACGGAACGCCGUGGAAGUGACACUUUGUGGUUCUGAGGUGAGGUCAUAAGAGGCCACACAGCUUCUGCUAGACCCUCUUGGGAUGUUCUUGCUUGGAGCCGAGCAGCCACCUGGAGACUCCAUGCAGGCUUUCCAGAUGAUAGCCCCAGCUGAGGUCCCAGCAGAUGGCACAUCCACAAAAUGAAGCCUUCUCUGAACCAGUCCCAAGAAGUUUCAACUUUAAAGCAUUAACUCCCCAAAUGAACUCGCUUUCAUUUCAUCUUCUCAUAUGUCAUUGCAUUCUCAACAACCCAGAUCUAUAGGAUGGAUCAGUCAAAGCUUACAAAGAAAUCUAAUUAGGUAUGGAAUAUGAACUUUUUAUUUGAUAAAUAACUUAGCUGGAGAGACAUUGAGAGUUACUCUAUUAGAAUAAAAGAAAGAAACAUCAUAA